GAUGAACGCUAGCUACAGGCUUAACACAUGCAAGUCGAGGGGCAGCGCAGUGUAGCAAUACAUGGGCGGCGACCGGCGCACGGGUGCGUAACGCGUAUCCAACCUUCCCGUUACUCAGGGAUAGCCUUCCGAAAGGGAGAUUAAUACCUGAUGGUGUUGAAAUUCCGCAUGUUAUUUCAACUAAAGAUUUAUCGGUAACGGAUGGGGAUGCGUGACAUUAGAUAGUAGGCGGGGUAACGGCCCACCUAGUCUACGAUGUCUAGGGGUUCUGAGAGGAAGGUCCCCCACACUGGAACUGAGACACGGUCCAGACUCCUACGGGAGGCAGCAGUGAGGAAUAUUGGUCAAUGGUCGGAAGACUGAACCAGCCAAGUAGCGUGAAGGAUGAAGGUUCUAUGGAUUGUAAACUUCUUUUAUACGGGAAUAAAACCUCCCACGUGUGGGAGCUUGUAUGUACCGCAUGAAUAAGCAUCGGCUAACUCCGUGCCAGCCGCCGCCGUAAUAC
rnacentral:rRNA from 1 species